rnacentral:snRNA from 1 species
AUAUCUUCCUCGACUUUUAGCUAAGAUAAAGCGCAAUAUUUGUUCUUACCAAUUUAAUAUAUGAUACAUGAAUCAUAUGUCCACUUUGAAUUAAAUUUAUAUGUUUGUAUAUUUUUGUGUGGGAAGAGUCCAUCACAUUGGCCUGCCACUAGACCCUCGUGUGUCGUCUACACGUUACACUGUUA